rnacentral:snoRNA from 1 species
UGAUGAGAAAUCUCCAGAAUUGCUGUACUAUCUUGAUGAUUCCCUCGAACCCUUCUAUGUCCGAUGACUGCAGCUGUUCUAC